AACGCAGGCCGCGCUUUGCAUAUCACUUGUGUUAUCGCAAGGCAUCUACGUAUGAGUGUCAGCCUAAUAUACUUUUGGUUUAAUGGUAAUUUAUUUACUAUUAAAUACACUAUGCGAGUAUUUUUUUAAAAUACACGCGUUUAACAAUAAAGUAUGUCUGGCCUCAUAUGUGGAAGGUUACCCGCUGGAUUUAA
rnacentral:misc_RNA from 1 species